UGCCACUCUUGAAGGACCUUCACUAUUGUA
rnacentral:piRNA from 1 species